rnacentral:rRNA from 1 species
GAUGAACGCUGGCGGCGUGCCUAAUACAUGCAAGUCGAGCGAACAGACGAGGAGCUUGCUCCUCUGACGUUAGCGGCGGACGGGUGAGUAACACGUGGAUAACCUACCUAUAAGACUGGGAUAACUUCGGGAGACCGGAGCUAAUACCGGAUAAUAUAUUGAACCGCAUGGUUCAAUAGUGAAAGACGGUUUUGCUGUCACUUAUAGAUGGAUCCGCGCCGCAUUAGCUAGUUGGUAAGGUAACGGCUUACCAAGGCAACGAUGCGUAGCCGACCUGAGAGGGUGACCGGCCACACUGGAACUGAGACACGGUCCAGACUCCUACGGGAGGCAGCAGUAGGGAAUCUUCCGCAAUGGGCGAAAGCCUGACGGAGCAACGCCGCGUGAGUGAUGAAGGUCUUCGGAUCGUAAAACUCUGUUAUUAGGGAAGAACAAAUGUGUAAGUAACUAUGCACGUCUUGACGGUACCUAAUCAGAAAGCCACGGCUAACUACGUG